GAUUAGCACAUAUCUGACAGAUGAAUUCUUAUUUUGAGUUAUGCGGUGCAGAUUGAGAACGAAAAAGCGCGAAUAUGAACACAGACACAAUGGCUAAUGGACACAUAUUGCAAACGGCAGAAGAGAGGACAUGAAACCACCAUUAUUGGACUCUGAAGAAUGCUAUGUAAACCAUGCUUUUGGAUCUACUGUUAAGUUUUGUAAUAAAUUUGAGUUUUUGGGAUUGAAAAUCUUCUGCCAC